rnacentral:rRNA from 1 species
UACGUAGGAUCCAAGCGUUAUCCGGAUUUAUUGGGCUUAAAGGGUGCGUAGGCGGCUUAUUAAGUCAGGGGUGAAAGACGGUAGCUUAACUAUCGCAGUGCCUUUGAUACUGAUGGGCUUGAAUGUACUUGAGGUAGGCGGAAUGUGACAAGUAGCGGUGAAAUGCAUAGAUAUGUCACAGAACACCAAUUGCGAAGGCAGCUUACUAAAGUAUAAUUGACGCUGAGGCACGAAAGCGUGGGGAUCAAACAGG